rnacentral:rRNA from 1 species
AGUGACAACCAGGAGGUUGGCUUGGAAGCAGCCACCCUUGAAAGAGUGCGUAAUAGCUCACUGGUCAAGUGAUUCCGCGCCGACAAUGUAGCGGGGCUCAAGUCAUCCGCCGAAGCUAUGGCAUUCACAGAAUAUUCUAGCGUUUACGUUCAGGACUGUGGAUGGGUAGGGGAGCGUCGUGUCGCGAGUGAAGCCUCGGAGUGAUCCAGGGGUGGACGCGACACGAGUGAGAAUGCAGGCAUGAGUAGCGAAUGAGGAGUGAGAAACUCCUCCGCCGAAUGAUCAAGGGUUCCAGGGUCAAGCUAAUCUGCCCUGGGUAAGUCGGGACCUAAGGCGAGGCCGACAGGCGUAGUCGAUGGACAACGGGUUGAUAUUCCCGUACCGGCAAAGUAGCGCCCAUGACGAACCUGGUGAUGCUAACUGUCCGAAUUCACUUCAUCUGAUCCCUUCGGGGUGAGGAGUGGUGAGCUAGCGCAGGACCCGAUCCAGUAGUAGUCAAGCGAUGGGGUGACGCAGGAAGGUAGCCCAACCACAGCGAUGGUUGUCUGUGGCCAAGAGUGUAGGGAGUCAUCUAGGCAAAUCCGGGUGACAUGUUCUUGAGACUCGAUGGGGAGCCCGUAUGGGCGAAGUGGGUGAUCCUAUGCUGUCGAGAAAAACCUCUAGCGAGCUAUGCGCCGCCCGUACCCCAAACCGACUCAGGUGAUCAGGUAGAGAAUACCAAGGCGAUCGAGUGAACCAUGGUUAAGGAACUCGGCAAAAUGCCCCCGUAACUUCGGGAGAAGGGGGGCCGGAUCCGUCAAUGCCCUAGCGGCAGGCAGCGGUGAUGGCCGCAGAGACCAGGCCCAAGCGACUGUUUACUAAAAACACAGGUCCGUGCGAAGUUGUAAGACGAUGUAUACGGACUGACUCCUGCCCGGUGCUGGAAGGUUAAGGGGACGGGUCAGCACGUAAGUGCGAAGCCCAGAACUUAAGCCCCAGUAAACGGCGGUGGUAACUAUAACCAUCCUAAGGUAGCGAAAUUCCUUGUCGGGUAAGUUCCGACCUGCACGAAUGGAGUAACGACUUGGGCGCUGUCUCAACCGUGGACUCGGCGAAAUUGCACUACGAGUAAAGAUGCUCGUUACGCGCGGCAGGACGGAAAGACCCCGGGACCUUUACUAUAGUUUGGUAUUGGUGUUUGGUUCGGCUUGUGUAGGAUAGGUGGGAGACUGUGAAGCAUCAACGCCAGUUGGUGUGGAGUCGACGUUGAAAUACCACUCUGGUCGUACUAGAUGUCUAACCUAGGUCCGUGAUCCGGAUCAGGGACAGUGCCUGAUGGGUAGUUUAACUGGGGCGGUUGCCUCCUAAAAUGUAACGGAGGCGCUCAAAGGUUCCCUCAGCCUGGUUGGCAAUCAGGUGUUGAGUGUAAGUGCACAAGGGAGCUUGACUGUGAGACAGACAUGUCGAGCAGGGACGAAAGUCGGAACUAGUGAUCCGGCCACGGCAUGUGGAAGCGUGGUCGCUCAACGGAUAAAAGGUACCCCGGGGAUAACAGGCUGAUCUUCCCCAAGAGUCCAUAUCGACGGGAUGGUUUGGCACCUCGAUGUCGGCUCGUCGCAUCCUGGGGCUGGAGUAGGUCCCAAGGGUUGGGCUGUUCGCCCAUUAAAGCGGCACGCGAGCUGGGUUUAGAACGUCGUGAGACAGUUCGGUCCCUAUCCGCCGCGCGCGCAGGAAACUUGAGAAAGGCUGUCCCUAGUACGAGAGGACCGGGAUGGACGAACCUCUGGUGUGCCAGUUGUUCUGCCAAGAGCACGGCUGGUUGGCUACGUUCGGAAGUGAUAACCGCUGAAUGCAUCUAAGCGGGAAGCACGUUUCAAGAUGAGGUUUCCCACUACACAAGUAGGUAAGGUCCCCAGCAGAACACUGGGUUGAUAGGCCAGAGGUGUACAGCAGUGAUGCCUAGCCG